rnacentral:rRNA from 1 species
CCUACGGGUGGCAGCAGUGGGGAAUAUUGGGCAAUGGGCGCAAGCCUGACCCAGCAACGCCGCGUGAAGGAAGAAGGCUUUCGGGUUGUAAACUUCUUUUCUCAGGGACGAAGAAAGUGACGGUACCUGAGUAAUAAGCCACGGCUAACUACGUGCCAGCAGCCGCGGUAAUACGUAGGUGGCAAGCGUUAUCCGGAUUUAUUGGGUGUAAAGGGCGUGUAGGCGGGAGCGCAAGUCAGAUGUGAAAACUCAGGGCUAAACCCUGAGCCUGCAUUUGAAACUGUGUUUCUUGAGUGCUGGAGAGGUAAGCGGAAUUCCGUGUGUAGCGGUGAAAUGCGUAGAGAUACGGAGGAACACCAGUGGCGAAGGCGGAUUGCUGGACAGUAACUGACGCUGAGGCGCGAAAGCGUGGGGAGCAAACAGGAUUAGAUACCCGUGUAGUC